UACAGAGGGGGCAAGCGUUGUUCGGAAUUACUGGGCGUAAAGGGCGCGUAGGCGGCCUGUUACGUCGACCGUGAAAUCCCCGGGCUCAACCCGGGAACUGCGUCCGAUACUGGCAGGCUCGAAUCCGGGAGAGGGAUGCGGAAUUCCAGGUGUAGCGGUGAAAUGCGUAGAUAUCUGGAGGAACACCGGUGGCGAAGGCGGCAUCCUGGACCGGCAUUGACGCUGAGGCGCGAAGGUCAGGGGAGCAAACGGG
rnacentral:rRNA from 1 species